rnacentral:rRNA from 1 species
AUUGAACGCUGGCGGCAGGCCUAACACAUGCAAGUCGAACGGUAACAGGUCUUCGGAUGCUGACGAGUGGCGAACGGGUGAGUAAUACAUCGGAACGUGCCUAGUAGUGGGGGAUAACUACUCGAAAGAGUGGCUAAUACCGCAUGAGAUCUACGGAUGAAAGCAGGGGAUCGCAAGACCUUGUGCUACUAGAGCGGCCGAUGGCAGAUUAGGUAGUUGGUGGGAUAAAAGCUUACCAAGCCGACGAUCUGUAGCUGGUCUGAGAGGACGAUCAGCCAGACUGGAACGGCGCCACGGCCCAGACUCCUACGGGAGGCAGCAGUGGGGAAUUUUGGACAAUGGGCGCAAGCCUGAUCCAGCAAUGCCGCGUGCAGGAUGAAGGCCUUCGGGUUGUAAACUGCUUUUGUACGGAACGAAAAGCCCUGGGUUAAUACCCUGGGGUCAUGACGGUACCGUAAGAAUAAGCACCGGCUAGCUACGUGCCAGCAGCCGCCGUAA